rnacentral:rRNA from 1 species
UACGGGGGGGGCAAGCGUUGUUCGGAAUUACUGGGCGUAAAGGGCUCGUAGGCGGCCAACUAAGUCAGACGUGAAAUCCCUCGGCUUAACCGGGGAACUGCGUCUGAUACUGGAUGGCUUGAGUUUGGGAGAGGGAUGCGGAAUUCCAGGUGUAGUGGUGAAAUGCGUAGAUAUCGGGAGGAACACCAGUGGCGAAGGCGGCUUCCUGGCCUGCUCUUGACGCUGAGGCGCGAAAGCUAGGGUAGCAAACGGG